GUCGCGGGCUCGUAUUCGAUUGCCGGCUCAGCGCUGUGGUAUGCAUCUCUGAUGUUGCCUGGGCACUUUCACUUUAGUAAGUGUUAGUGAUUGUGCUGCCUUGCUGCGGGCAUUGUCUGCUGGAGCUGUUUGCUGUAGCCAUUGUCAGCGGGAGCUGCUGUGUGUCAUUACCUGCUGCUGUCUGCUGUGGCCAUUGUUUGCUGUGGCUGCUGGCAGAAAUUGAUGCUGUGCUGGAGCUGGGGGCCAAGCAUCUGACUUGGGGAUGCGGAAUUCUAUUCACCUUUCCUGUAGUGUGGAGCACGUUGGGUGUGAUUGAGAUGUGUGGCACUGACAUGUGUGGUUUGUAGUGUAGAGGAUAUUCCUAUCCCUGUACUUCCUUUGGUCGUGGUAAGCCCUUAACCCAGUUCCUUCCUAAUUUGUUGCUGGUAAUUUAAAUAAAUUAUUGCUAGCUCUUUUUUUUAUAUUGAUUCUCCAAGAAGGGAAUUCCUGGUCUGCCUGGUGGAAAAGAUGUUAUAAAAUAAU